CAUAAAUAUAUAUUGUGAAUAAUAUUUAUUUAUUCUUCAUGGUAGCAGAAAAGUGGUUCUAUUAAUCGGUCUACCAGUGUAUAACUUCUUCUCUGGAAGCAACCAGUCUCUCGUAGACGUUCGUGUAUUCUUUGAAAUGUUUUCUUAUUUGGCCUACGCCGAUUGGGAAAAUAUUCCGAGUAUAAAAACAUCUUGCUUUACUUGCAUUACACAUUACACGAGCAUCAGAUGGAUAUCUGUCAUUUCUAAAUUAGAAUAACGCUCCAUUAUCACUUCAAACACGAUCUUAUACGACAUGUAUUACGAUUAUUAGUAAGAACUGAACUGAUUUAGAGACUAUUGCGAAAUUUGCUGAAUCUUCAAAUAGCCACAUGAAAGAUAUCAAGUGUACAAUCAGCUCCCGAAGUGAGUCCCACAAGGUUACGAAAUACCCUGUAUAGUGCCAUCAAUAAUAAGCAGUUGGAAUACAUAGGUGAGUUGGAUACUGCAUAUGAAAUAAUAAAGAAGUUUGAUAGAAUGUACUUAGAGGAGUCGACAGCAGAUAGUAUGUAGAAAUAAUGUUGAAGCAGUCAAGUUAAAAAAUUACACAGACGUGACGAUCUCUUUUGACGAGUUUGAAGAAGCAGCGAAUGAUCUAAAAGCUGCACGAGCAAAAUUGACUGAAAAUGAAAAACUAAAUUAUAUGCUAAAAGCCCUAUCAGGCCCUCGUACAGUUAUAUUGGCGAUCUAGUUGAUGCUCUUCCUGAAUGAGAAAGAACAAUAGAAUCUGUAGAAGCAAAAAAGGAAGAAGAAAAGAGAGAUGAAAUACAAGCUAAUUCAAAUGCGUUUGUAAUAGUAGGAUCUUCAACUGAAGGUAAUAGGCAACCAGUCAUUUGUUAUAAUUGUGGUAAAACAGAACAUCUACAAAGAGAAUGUCGCUCAACAGUAGUAGAAAAUAU